GGUUGAUCCUGCCAGUAGUCAUAUGCUUGUCUCAAAGAUUAAGCCAUGCAUGUCUAAGUAUAAACAUCUUUAUACAGUGAAACUGCGUACAGCUCAUUAUAUCAGUUAUGAUUUAUUUGAUGGUGACUUAUUACAUGGAUACCCGUAGUAAUUCUAGAGCUAAUACAUGCGUCAAGUUCCAACUCGCGAGGGAAGGAAUGUAUUUAUUAGAUACAAAUCAAUCAUUGAUAGCAAUAUCAAUGCUUUUUGGUGACUCAUAAUAACUGCACGAAUCGCAUAGCCUU
rnacentral:rRNA from 1 species